rnacentral:rRNA from 1 species
ACCGAUGGGAAAAUCACCCACCACGUGUCCGAUCUCGUCAGAUAUUGUGAAGCUAAGCAGGCUUUAUCCUGGAUAGUGCUUGUAAGGGCGACCGCCUUGCAUAGCAGGUGCUAUAGGCU